CUACGGGUUGCUGCAGUGGGGAAUAUUGGACAAUGGGCGAAAGCCUGAUCCAGCAAUGCCGCGUGAGUGAAGAAGGCCUUAGGGUUGUAAAGCUCUUUCAGUCGUGACGAUGAUGACGGUAACGACAGAAGAAGCCCCGGCUAACUCCGUGCCAGCAGCCGCGGUAAUACGGAGGGGGCUAGCGUUGUUCGGAAUUACUGGGCGUAAAGCGCACGUAGGCGGCGUAUCAAGUCAGAGGUGAAAGGCCCGGGCUCAACCUGGGAACUGCCUUUGAUACUGGUAUGCUUGAGUCCGGAAGAGGGUAGUGGAAUUUCCAGUGUAGAGGUGAAAUUCGUAGAUAUUGGAAAGAACACCAGUGGCGAAGGCGGCUACCUGGUCCGGUACUGACGCUGAGGUGCGAAAGCGUGGGGAGCAAACAGGAUUAGAUACCCUCGUAGUC
rnacentral:rRNA from 1 species